UUACGGUCAAAUCACGCUGAAAACACCGGUUCUCGUUCGAUCACCGAAGUUAAGCAUCGUAGAGCCAGGUCAGUACUUAGAUUGGGGGACCGCUUGGGAACACCUGGUACUGUAAG